UUCAGCUUUACCAUACCACAUGGAAGCUAACUUGUUAUGGCAACUGGGGGAAGUCAAACACAAAUACAAUCUAACGAGAAAAAAUGUGAAGUAUGCAGAAAUGUAGAGCGCGCGUAUGUCUCUCGAAACAACGCACCGAAUGUAUUCAUAGUACACGCACAGAGAGAGGUCAUCACUGGCCGAGGGAAGAAUAAAGACGUGAAAAAGAA